rnacentral:rRNA from 1 species
GAUGAACGCUGGCGGCGUGCCUAAUACAUGCAAGUCGAGCGAACGGACGAGAAGCUUGCUUCUCUGAUGUUAGCGGCGGACGGGUGAGUAACACGUGGAUAACCUACCUAUAAGACUGGGAUAACUUCGGGAAACCGGAGCUAAUACCGGAUAAUAUUUUGAACCGCAUGGUUCAAAAGUGAAAGACGGUCUUGCUGUCACUUAUAGAUGGAUCCGCGCUGCAUUAGCUAGUUGGUAAGGUAACGGCUUACCAAGGCAACGAUGCAUAGCCGACCUGAGAGGGUGGUCGGCCACCCUGGAACUGAGACACGCUCCAUGCUCCUACGGGAGGCCGCAGUCGGGAACCUUCCGCAAUGGGCGAAAGCCUGACGGAGCAACGCCGCGUGAGUGAUGAAGGUCUUCGGAUCGUAAAACUCUGUUAUUAGGGAAGAACAUAUGUGUAAGUAACUGUGCACAUCUUGACGGUACCUAAUCAGAAAGCCACGGCUAACUACGUG